CCCCUUGGAUCCCCUUCCACACUGUGGGAGGUUUGUUCUUUUGCUCUUUGCAAUAAAGCUUGCUGCUGCUCACUCUUUGGGUCCAGACUGUCUUUAUGAGCUAUAACACUCACCGGGAAGGUCUGCAGCUUCACUCCUGAAGCCAAGGAGACCACGAACCCACCGGGAGGAAGGAACAACUACAGACACGCCGGCUUAAGAGCUGUAGCACUCACUGCGAAGGUCCGCAGCUUCACUCUUGAGCCAGAGACCACGAACCCACCAGAAGGAAGAAACUCCAAACACAUCCGAACAUCAGAAGGAAAAAACUCCAGACACGCCGCCUUUAAGAACUGCAACACUGCGAGGGUCCGCGGCUUCAUUCUUGAAGUCAGUGAGACCAAGAACCCACCAAUUCCAGACACACUACCAAAGGCAGAGGGGAGCUCCUAGACAAAGAUAUUUUGCUUACAAAUGGAACAUAUCAAAUCAAGCUUUUGUGAACUUGAGGGAAGAAACAAAGAAUAUGAAGCCUAAAUGGAAGUGUCAGGAAAUGGUCGCCUUGCGGACAAGGAAACAGCAGCCUGGAAGGCCAGGAGAGGGCAGACUACCCACCUAACCCUCUGCAGAAUUUUGUGUGGACCCUGGAGACCAGAAACUAACUUCUCCUGCAGAGACAAGGUCUUGCUCUGUCACCCUGGCUGGUCUUGAACUCCUGGCUUCAAGCAAUUCAUCCAUCUCAGCCUCCUGAGUAGCUGGGAUUACAGAAAAAACAGUGAAGCAUAGACAGUUUUUGCAAGAGGCCCAAGAUCAUACAUCAAAUAUGUGCACAGCCAGGACCUGAACCAGUUGAUAUCUACAAAUGCCUGGCUUUUGCCACUGGGCUCCUUCAGGCUGGAGUGUAGUGGUACGAUCUUGGCUUACUGCAACCUCCACCUCCUGGGUUCAAGCGGCCCUGUCAUCUCAGCCUCCUGAGUAGCUGGGGUUACAGAGCUCCUUUCUGACAACUUGCAAUUGAUCCAACAUUUGAAACCUUAUGCAGGAGCCGGACAGCUUGGUUUUGAAUUAUAAUCUUACAAAUUACUGGCUGUGUGUUAAAUCUUUAAAUUACUGGCUGUGUGACUUUGUGUAAGUACCUUCACUUCUCUGUGCCUUAGUUUAUGUUAUGUAAAAGGUAUGAUAAUAGUAUCUAUCUUGGAAUUUAGUUUUUAAAUAUAAAAUUUAUAUAUCUACAACAGCUGAAUAAGUGUUAUCUAUCUUUAUUACCAUUGCAAUUAUUAUUAUAAUUAUUUGUAUAUGUCGGGCUCAUAAAGCUCUUAGCUUUGCAAAACUGUCUGAGAAAGUUUGCUUUUCUUUGCAUUCAUUGGGAAAUUAACUUUUCUACACAAUAAUGUUUUUAAGGCAUGGACCUGUAAAAUGUUUAAUUGGUGUGGCUUCAAAGUAUAGAAAUUGUAAAGUAGGAAAUAAUUAUACACAACUAUCAAACCAAUAAUAAAGGUCAAUAAAUAUUCAAACAGUAUUAAUAUAA
rnacentral:lncRNA from 1 species